GCUGGGCGUGGUGGCUCACGCCUGUAAUCCCAGCACUUUGGGAGGCUGAGGCGGGUGGAUCACCUGAGGUCAGGAGUUCUAGACCAGCCUGGCCAACAUGAUGAAACCCCGUCUCUA
rnacentral:SRP_RNA from 1 species